AUACGGAGGAUCCGAGCGUUAUCCGGAUUUAUUGGGUUUAAAGGGUGCGCAGGCGGGAUGUUAAGUCGGCGGUGAAAUUUUGCAGCUCAACUGUAAAAGCGCCUUCGAUACUGGCUUCCUUGAGUGUGGAUGAAGUAGGCGGAAUUUGUGGUGUAGCGGUGAAAUGCUUAGAUAUCACGAGGAACUCCGAUUGCGCAGGCAGCUUACUAAACCACUACUGACGCUCAUGCACGAAGGCGUGGGGAUCAAACAGGAUUAGAUACCCUGGUAGUCCACGCAGUAAACGAUGAUUACUAGUUGUUUGCGAUACAAUGUAAGCGACUGAGCGAAAGCGUUAAGUAAUCCACCUGGGGAGUUCGUUCGCAAGAAUGAAACUCGAAGGAAUUGACGGGG
rnacentral:rRNA from 1 species